rnacentral:lncRNA from 1 species
UGUGGCCCAGAUGAUGACAUGGGUUUGGAUUCCUUCCAUGAACAAAUGAAGCAGAAGAAAGCCUGUAUAGAGGAAGGAGUGGGGAAGCCUGGAAAUUUCCAAGUUUUGUUACUUGUUUCUUUUCAAGGCAUGUCUGUCUUUUCACUCUUUAAAUUCUUGAAGCAUUUCUCUAUCCUUCAAAUAACCACUUGUUGACAACAGAAAAAGACAGUGGGAGAAACCAAAGCACAGCUAUGACCAUUAUCUGCCCGCCCUUCAAGCUCUUA